rnacentral:rRNA from 1 species
AGUGAACGCUGGCGGUAGGCCUAACACAUGCAAGUCGAACGGCAGCACAGUAAGAGCUUGCUCUUACGGGUGGCGAGUGGCGGACGGGUGAGGAAUACAUCGGAAUCUACUUUUUCGUGGGGGAUAACGUAGGGAAACUUACGCUAAUACCGCAUACGACCUACGGGUGAAAGCAGGGGAUCUUCGGACCUUGCGCGAUUGAAUGAGCCGAUGUCGGAUUAGCUAGUUGGCGGGGUAAAGGCCCACCAAGGCGACGAUCCGUAGCUGGUCUGAGAGGAUGAUCAGCCACACUGGAACUGAGACACGGUCCAGACUCCUACGGGAGGCAGCAGUGGGGAAUAUUGGACAAUGGGCGCAAGCCUGAUCCAGCCAUACCGCGUGGGUGAAGAAGGCCUUCGGGUUGUAAAGCCCUUUUGUUGGGAAAGAAAAGCGGCAGGUUAAUACCCCGCUGUUCUGACGGUACCCAAAGAAUAAGCGCCGGCUAACUUCGUG